UCUUCGCCUUACGCAUGUCCUAGACAUGGCCUUACCCUUUUGUACUCCCUUUCUCCUUUGAGGAAACAUGGACAUUUAACAGAACAGCUAGGAAAACAUUACAGUCAGAACUCAGUCACACAGGUAACAUGGACAGUAACACGGUGACACCUUGGUGGACUACUCCCCCCCCCCAUAAGAUCAGUUUUCUGGUCAAGACUAUUAUUAACAUCAAAUCAGAAGGGAGAAAUAGAGACUGGAAACCAGGGAAGGGGUUGGGCCUUGUGCUGCAUUCUGUAGCACCAGCCAGGAACAGCUGUUUACUGAAUACAAUCUCACCUCUUCGGGUACUGUAAGCGGCUGAAGUCUAACCAGAGACGUCCUUGCUAAAAUGCAGUUUCAUUUGUAUCUCUAUAAGCACGCAUGACGACCACAGUGAAGGAGGAGAAGCCCGGGUCCACCUCAUGACAGCUUGCUUUCAGGCAGCUGGUGGAGCUCAAACAUCUCUCCUUAGCAAAGGGAAUCAUGGAAUGGAUUGCCAGGCUCAUUAG
rnacentral:lncRNA from 1 species